rnacentral:lncRNA from 1 species
GUAACUACAGAAAUAAAAAGUGACACGUGGAUGUGUUCAUGAAAAUUUGAUAUGUGAGAUUUUGCCCACAUGAUGCUUCAUGCUGCGUUUUGCUCAGGCACCUAUAUUGAUGAAAUGGCAAAGAUGUUCUCUUUGAUUGUUUUCUUCUUGCUUCUGAAGCUUUCCUUUCUUUUUUGCAGUUUGAGUGACCCCAGGUGCUUUUGGAGAAUAAAAGACAGAGAAAAUUAUCUAGGAGAUAAGGAGGCUGAUUGUUUCUUUUCCAUUUAUACAAAGCGUGGUUAUGUGAAGAAUGAUUACUUCAGUGAGAAUCUAGACAAGAAGGUGACACGUAAGACCAUCCACUUGAUUUCCUCUCUUUAUUUUGCCAUUGAAGAAAUCAAUAGGAAUAUUCAUAUUUUACCCAACAUUUCCCUAUUAGUUAAGAUCGAAUGUAACUUAAUUGUGGAUAAUGAGGAAAGAGUUUGGUCCAUGAAAAGAAAGGAAAUUAUUCCUAAUUUCUACUGUAAAAAUCAGAGAAGAUAUUUAAUUGUACUUACGGGACCUCUAUGGAUAACAUCUUACAGACUUGGGCCAUUGCUAUACUUCUCCAGAACUCCAGAGCUUUACUCUGGUUAUUUUCAUCUCAUAAGUGACCAGGAACAGUUUCCUCAUCUCUACCAGAUGACUCCCAAAGACACAUCUCUACCACUAGCCAUGGUGUCCAUAGCAGUUCACUUCAGAUGGAACUGGGUAGGAGUCAUCAUUACAGAUGAUGACCAUGGAAUUCAAUUCCUUGCUGAAUUGAGAGAAGUAAUGAAAAGAAACACUGUCUGCAUAGCAUUUGUUACUACUAUCACUUAUAAUCGGAUAUUAUACUUAAAAAUGAUUCAUAAAUAUUAUCACCAAAUCAUAAUGUCAUCAGCAAAAGCUGUGAUUGUCUAUGGGGAUAAAGAAUCUCCUGUACAAUUUAAUUUUAUUCUAUGGAAAUCUAAAGACAUUCAAAGACUCUGGGUCAGUGUGUCACAAUUUGAUAUGAUCACAAUGACAGGAAAUUUCAUGCUUAACUCCUUGCAUGGGACUCUUAUUUUUUCACACCAACAGUCUGAGAUGUCCGGUUUUAAACAAUUUAUUCAAACAGUGCACCCUUCUAAUUACAGUAAUGACAUUUCUUUUGCUAAACUGUGGUGGACUUACUUUAAGUGUUCUUUGACACCACCUGAUUGUAAAACACUGAAGAAUUGUCCAACCAAAACUUUAUUUCAAUGGUUUUUUGUGCCAUCCCUUGGAAUGUCUAUGAGUGAAACAUGUUACAACUUAUACAAUUCUGUGUAUGCUGUUGCCCACUCACUUCAUGAGAUGCUUCUACAAUAUGUAGACACACGCUCAGAGAAUGAUGGAAAGGUACUGGAAUUUAACUCCUGGAAGAUGUUCUCUUUUCUGAAGACCAUACAGUUUGUAAAUCCUGCUGGAGACCUAGUGAACAUGAACGAGAAAAAAAAAACUGGAUACAGAGUAUGACAUUUUCUACAUCAUGGAUUUACUAAAAAACUAUGGAAUUAAAAUGAAAAUAGGACGAUUUUCUGGUCACUUUCCAAACGGUCAACAACUGUUUAUGUCUGAUGAUAUAAUAGAGUGGGCUACAGAUAUCAAUCAGAAUUCAGCCUCCAUAUGUAGUGUGCCUUGCAGACCAGGACUCAGAAAAUACUUUCAGGAGGGAAAGGCUGUUUGCUGUUUUGAUUGUUACCGCUGCCCAGAAAAUGAAAUUUCAAACAUGACAGCCUUAACGGAGGAAUUGGUUUUGUAGUUGUAUCCAUCUGACUGAAUUCUAAAACUCUAAAUUUUUACUGACAAUGAUAUUCUCUAAUGAUGUCUUUUUCAAUGACAUGGAACAAUGCAUGAAGUGCCCAGUAGAUGAAUAUGCAAACACUGAUCAAACUAACUGCUUCAAAAAAGUUGUGUCCUUUCUGGAUUAUGAAGAACCCUUGGGAAUGACUCUGGCUGUCUUGGCUGUGUUCUUUUCUUCUCUUACAGUUAUUAUACUCUGUAUCUUCUUGAAACACCGAGACACUCCCAUAGUCAAGGCCAAUAAUGAAACUCUCAGCUAUGUCCUACUCACCUCCCUCAUAUUUUGUUUUAUUUGUUCAUUGCUCUACAUUGGUUAUCCCACUAUGGUUAGCUGCAUCCUGCAACAGACCACAUUUGCCAUUGUGUUCACUGUGGCUGCCUCUUGUGUCUUAGCCAAGACAAUUACUGUAGUCCUAGCAUUUAAGAUCACUGUUCCAGGAAGAAGACUGAGGUGGCUGCUACUUUCCGGAGCACCUAAUUACAUCAUUCCCAUAUGCACCACAAUACAAAUGAUUCUCUGUGGAAUCUGGCUGGGAACUUCUCCUCCAUUUGUUGAUGUGGAUCUACACAUGAUACAUGGACACAUCAUCAUUGUUUGCAACAAAGGUUCAGUGAUUGCUUUUUACUGUGUCCUGGGUUACAUGGGCUCUCUUGCUCUAUCAAGUUUCACUGUAGCUUUCCUGGCCAGGAAUCUGCCUGACACAUUCAAUGAAGCCAAGCUCCUGACAUUCAGCAUGCUGGUGUUCUGCAGUGUCUGGAUCACCUUCCUCCCUGUUUAUCACAGUACUAAGGGAAAGACUAUGGUUGCUGUGGAGGUCUUCUGUAUCUUGGCCUCCAGUGCAGGGAUGCUUAUUUGCAUAUUUCUCCCAAAGUGCUACAUUAUUCUGUUGAGACCACAAAUAAAUUCU